GAUGAACGCUGGCGGCGUGCCUAAUACAUGCAAGUCGAGCGAACAGACGAGGAGCUUGCUCCUCUGACGUUAGCGGCGGACGGGUGAGUAACACGUGGAUAACCUACCUAUAAGACUGGGAUAACUUCGGGAAACCGGAGCUAAUACCGGAUAAUAUAUUGAACCGCAUGGUUCAAUAGUGAAGGACGGUUUUGCUGUCACUUAUAGAUGGAUCCGCGCCGCAUUAGCUAGUUGGUAAGGUAACGGCUUACCAAGGCGACGAUGCGUAGCCGACCUGCGAGGGUGAUCGGCCACACUGGAACUGAGACACGGUCCAGACUCCUACGGGAGGCAGCAGUAGGGAAUCUUCCGCAAUGGGCGAAAGCCUGACGGAGCAACGCCGCGUGAGUGAUGAAGGUCUUCGGAUCGUAAAACUCUGUUAUUAGGGAAGAACAAAUGUGUAAGUAACUAUGCACGUCUUGACGGUACCUAAUCAGAAAGCCACGGCUAACUACGUG
rnacentral:rRNA from 1 species